rnacentral:rRNA from 1 species
CAUGCAGUCGAGCGGUAAGGCCCUUCGGGGUACACGAGCGGCGAACGGGUGAGUAACACGUGGGUGAUCUGCCUCGUACUCUGGGAUAAGCCUGGGAAACUGGGUCUAAUACCGGAUAUGACCACGAAUCGCAUGGUUUGUGGUGGAAAGAUUUAUCGGUGCGAGAUGGGCCCGCGGCCUAUCAGCUUGUUGGUGGGGUAAUGGCCUACCAAGGCGACGACGGGUAGCCGACCUGAGAGGGUGACCGGCCACACUGGGACUGAGACACGGCCCAGACUCCUACGGGAGGCAGCAGUGGGGAAUAUUGCACAAUGGGCGAAAGCCUGAUGCAGCGACGCCGCGUGAGGGAUGACGGCCUUCGGGUUGUAAACCUCUUUCGACAGGGACGAAGCGCAAGUGACGGUACCUGUAGAAGAAGCACCGGCCAACUACGUGCCAGCAGCCGCGGUAAUACGUAGGGUGCGAGCGUUGUCCGGAAUUACUGGGCGUAAAGAGCUUGUAGGCGGUUCGUCGCGUCGAUUGUGAAAACUUGCAGCUCAACUGCAAGCUUGCAGUCGAUACGGGCGGACUAGAGUACUUCAGGGGAGACUGGAAUUCCUGGUGUAGCGGUGAAAUGCGCAGAUAUCAGGAGGAACACCGGUGGCGAAGGCGGGUCUCUGGGAAGUAACUGACGCUGAGAAGCGAAAGCGUGGGUAGCGAACAGGAUUAGAUACCCUGGUAGUCCACGCCGUAAACGGUGGGUACUAGGUGUGGGUUUCCUUCCACGGGAUCCGUGCCGUAGCUAACGCAUUAAGUACCCCGCCUGGGGAGUACGGCCGCAAGGCUAAAACUCAAAGGAAUUGGACGGGGGGCCCGCACAAGCGGCGGAACAUGUGGAUUAAUUCGAUGCAACGCGAAGAACCUUACCUGGGUUUGACAUACACCAGAAAGCCGUAGAGAUACGGCCCCCCUUGUGGUUGGUGUACAGGUGGUGCAUGGCUGUCGUCAGCUCGUGUCGUGAGAUGUUGGGUUAAGUCCCGCAACGAGCGCAACCCUUAUCUUAUGUUGCCAGCGCGUAAUGGCGGGGACUCGUGAGAGACUGCCGGGGUCAACUCGGAGGAAGGUGGGGACGACGUCAAGUCAUCAUGCCCCUUAUGUCCAGGGCUUCACACAUGCUACAAUGGCCGGUACAGAGGGCUGCGAUACCGUGAGGUGGAGCGAAUCCCUUAAAGCCGGUCUCAGUUCGGAUCGGGGUCUGCAACUCGACCCCGUGAAGUUGGAGUCGCUAGUAAUCGCAGAUCAGCAACGCUGCGGUGAAUACGUUCCCGGGCCUUGUACACACCGCCCGUCACGUCAUGAAAGUCGGUAACACCCGAAGCCGGUGGCCUAACCCUUGUGGAGGGAGCCGUC